UACGUAGGGGGCAAGCGUUGUCCGGAUUUAUUGGGCGUAAAGAGCGUGUAGGCGGCCUGGUAGGUCAGUUGUGAAAACUCGAGGCUCAACCUCGAGACGCCGAUUGAAACCACCAGGCUAGAGUCCGGAAGAGGAGAGUGGAAUUCCCGGUGUAGCGGUGAAAUGCGUUGAGAUCGGAAGGAACGCCCGUGGCGAAAGCGAGGUCCUGGACGUUUUCUGACGCUGAGACGCGAAAGCCAGGGGAGCGAACGGG
rnacentral:rRNA from 1 species